rnacentral:rRNA from 1 species
AUGCCGUACAUACCGGCUGACGUCACAAACCUACAGGCCAAGUACCGUAGAGAGAGCAGGCUGGCUGACAUAGAGGCUACAAUUGCCUACUUCGAUGAGAAAGCAAAAGAAGAUCCAGAUUUCUUCUAGAGGAUAAGGUUGGAAAAUGAGGACCGUGUCAGGAACAUGUAUUGGGUGGAUGGUGCUGCAAGGAGAGCCUACAAACAUUUCCGAGAUUGCAUUUCAUUCGACGCGACGUACCUCACCAAUAUGUACAAGAUGCCAUGCGCUCCAUUCAUAGGAAUAAAUAACCACAAUCAGUCGUUGCAGUUCGGCUGCGGGCUCAUUCGGAACGAAGACACGGAUGGUUACGUCUGGUUGUUCAAGACCUUCUUGGAGUGUAUGGAUGGACUUGCGCCGAUGAACAUAAUAAUAUACCAGGAUUUCAGCAUGCGUGCAGGCAUAGAGGAGGUUUUUACGUUGGCAGUGCACAGGCACUGCAGGUGGCACAUUAUAAAGAAGGCUGAGGAGACGCUAGGACCGUUCUUUGCUGACCGUCCAGAGCUGCACAAGGCAUUCGAGCUGUGCGUGGACCACAGCUUGACGGUCGAGGAGUUUGAAAGGAGCUGGAUGGCCAUGGUUGAAACACAUGAAGUCCAAAACAAUGAGACGCUUGCUAGCCUGUGGGAGAAGCGAAUAUACUGGGUGCUCGCCUACUUCAUGUAG